rnacentral:rRNA from 1 species
CCUACGGGUGGCAGCAGUAGGGAAUAUUGCUCAAUGGGGGAAACCCUGAAGCAGCAACGCCGCGUGGAGGAUGAAGGCUUUCGGAUUGUAAACCCCUUUUGUUAGAGAAGAUAAUGACGGUACCUAACGAAUAAGCACCGGCUAACUCCGUGCCAGCAGCCGCGGUAAUACGGAGGGUGCAAGCGUUAUUCGGAAUCACUGGGCGUAAAGGGGGCGUAGGCGGGAAAGCAAGUCUGAUGUGAAAUCCUAGGGCUUAACCAUAGAACUGCAUUUGAAACUGUUAUGCUAGAGUAUGGGAGAGGUAGGUGGAAUUCGUGGUGUAGCGGUGAAAUGCGUAGAGAUCAAGAGGAAUAC